rnacentral:tRNA from 1 species
UGGCGGCAUGGCCAAGCGGUAAGGCAAGGGACUGCAAAUCCUUUAUCCCCAGUUCAAAUAUGGGUCGGUAG